UUAACUAGUCGACCGGCGGCGUAGCAUACGCCGCUAUUUUGCAGGGCCGGCCCUAGGCCACUGCAACCUAUUCGAGCGCAUUGGGCCCCGCACUUUCAUAGGACCCGCGCUAAUUCUAGGGGUAUAAAUUAUUAAAUUAAACCAUAUUAUAAUUUAAACAGAUUUCCCGCGCCCUCCUGUCGAUUUACCAGGAGCUCCUGAAAAUCUCCCGAAAUUACAAAAUAUACGAAAAAGUCCUUAAAAUAUACGGAAAUAUAUUGUAAUUUUGGGGUGUCAUUCAAUAUGGAAAACGCCAAUCCUACGCGCGAUAAAUAAAAACGGCAUUAUGCAUUAGCCGUAAUUGUGAAAUCUGGUGAAAGAAGCUUCUCGCGUCUCAAACUAAUGAAGAAUUACUUGAAGUCAACAAUUCUCAAAGAUAGAUUGAAACAUUUGGUAAUUCCAUAGACUAUAUAUUACAUGAACUGCCAACUCUACGCACUAAGCCUAUAUUUUUCAAUAAACAAGUUCCAUUCACCGAGGCGUCCUUGGUUGCAUGGUAAAAUGACUUCCGGUAGAUUUUUUUUACUAUAUAAAGAAACCAUUCCCGAAGAUUUUUACCACCACUUUUACAGCAAAUCAUGAAUGGAAACUGAAUUGUUAUAGAAGAUGUUACAGAGGAGCAUACUACUUCCAAAAACCUGAUUUGAUUGUCACUAACUUUCAAAUUGAAGGGGAUCUACUACAACUGCUCAUGAAUUUUGAGAUUUUACAGCUAAUAGAGGAACAAAUUUUAUCUGCUUCCACUUAGACAAACAGCAUGGAAAUAUGCUAUUGUAAUGAGUAGAAGAUAUUUGUCAUUUAGAGUAUCAUGUGUCAUUGACUUAUGAAAACAAAAUGCAACAGCUAAUUAUCAGUCUACACAUUUCAAGAUGAGGAAACAAAUUGGUGCAUUAUUUAUACCAAAAUGUAUAGUCAACCCAGUCAUCACUCCAUUUUUUUAAUGAAGCCAGUUACAGUUACCAUGAAGGGAUGAAAUUUCAGAUAAUAUUCUGUUUGUUUUAUGAAAUGAGAAUAGGCCUACAUCAGAAAUUGAAAUGGUCAUCUUCAGUAUUUAAUGUUUCAUCUAAAAAUGAUAAAUAUAUUAAUACAUAUUUGAUGUACAAACA